UACGAAGGGGGCUAGCGUUGCUCGGAAUCACUGGGCGUAAAGGGUGCGUAGGCGGAUUUCUAAGUCAGGGGUGAAAGCCUGAGGCUCAACCUCAGAACUGCCUUUGAUACUGGAAGUCUUGAGACCGGAAGAGGUAAGUGGAACUGCGAGUGUAGAGGUGAAAUUCGUAGAUAUUCGCAAGAACACCAGUGGCGAAGGCGGACUUACUGGUCCGGUUCUGACGCUGAGGCACGAAAGCGUGGGGGAGCAAACAGGG
rnacentral:rRNA from 1 species